rnacentral:lncRNA from 1 species
CAUGCCACCUGUACCACCCACAUCAUAGCAUUAAAGCCUUCUGUCAAUGAUUCAAGUUUUCUGGUUGAAAUGAUAAAUUAAGUUAUUUUUAACAGCUAUUUCACUCAGGAGGAUUGACAGUGCUGUGGACACCUGCUGUGACCAAGGAAACCUUCAAUGAAAUGGAGCAAGCUGCAGGGGAAUAUUCUGUUUUACCUGAUAUGACACAUAUGAGCCUUGCUUAGGGAGAUCAACUGUCUUACAACUCAAGGUCAGUGCAUAGCAACAUCUGUUACAUAUGUCUAGGUCUAUUAGGCAAUUCUGCCAUGCUGCCAAAUAA